GACGGGAUAAACGCUGAAAGCAUCUAAGCGUGAAGCCCCCCUCAAGAUGAGAUUUCCCACUUUUGGUAAGACCCCUUGUAGACGACGAGGUUGAUAGGCUAGAGGUGGACGCGCAGCAAUGUGUGGAGCUGACUAGUACUAAUCGGUCGAGGGCUUAUCCUU
rnacentral:rRNA from 1 species